CUUCUAAAUUUUCCAAGGCAUGGAAGCAUUCUUUUGAGGUAUAGAGAAGAUUUUUCAACCCUGAAGCAGUUUCACGGAGUAAUUGAGACUGACCGAAAAGUUGCUGCAUUUGGAUAUGCACCAGAAUGCGCUUGUGGUCAUAUCUCUCUUUUAAAAGCUCCCACGCUUUGUCAUAGUUGGCGGCUUCAACGGGUUUGAAUUGUUGUGAACUAGAGCUUGGAAUUUAUCAUGAAAGGCUCUCCAUGUGAUAUACGACCCAUCAAACUUUGGAAGAUCAAUACGGGGUAAUCUAACUUCCGAAUGAGUGGAAUGUUGAAUUUCGGAACCAGAAGUCGUUGACUUCGAAGAGGAAAAAUUAUCCAUCGUUUCGACUAAAAGGGCCCUAUAUUCCAGGCAGCCUCCACCAACAAUUGCCUCAUGGUAGGAUUUAGUCGAUUUUACAUCAUCUUCUACAUAGCUUUGAUAACCGCCCCGAUAUGUAUGGUUUAGUUAAACGCUC